AAAAAAAACAAACCCUAGUUUCCAUGUCCAAUGUUUGACCGUCCGUCUUAUUUAAAAAAAUUAUAAAAAAAAUUUAAAAAAUAAGUCGCGCAUAAAGUAUUAAUUAUGUUUUAUCAUCUAACAAUAAUAAAAAUACUAAUUAUAAAAAAAUUUCAUAUAAGACGGACAGUGAAACGUUGGCAAGAAAAUCCAGGGUUUGCCUUUUU
rfam:Oryza glaberrima chromosome 6 Oglab06_0214_1, whole genome shotgun sequence.